AACGAACGCUGGCGGCAUGCCUAACACAUGCAAGUCGAACGAAGGCUUCGGCCUUAGUGGCGCACGGGUGCGUAACGCGUGGGAAUCUGCCCUUUGCUUCGGAAUAACAGUUAGAAAUGACUGCUAAUACCGGAUGAUGUCGCAAGACCAAAGAUUUAUCGGCAAAGGAUGAGCCCGCGUAGGAUUAGCUAGUUGGUGGGGUAAAGGCCUACCAAGGCGACGAUCCUUAGCUGGUCUGAGAGGAUGAUCAGCCACACUGGGACUGAGACACGGCCCAGACUCCUACGGGAGGCAGCAGUGGGGAAUAUUGGACAAUGGGCGAAAGCCUGAUCCAGCAAUGCCGCGUGAGUGGUGAAGGCCUUAGGGUUGUAAGCUCUUUUACCCGGGAUGAUAAUGACAGUACCGGGAGAAUAAGCGCCGGCUAACUCCGUG
rnacentral:rRNA from 1 species